UGAAGUAGAGGUCGCGUUAUUAAUAAGUAGCAUGAAGGAUGUUUCAGCAACAGUGAGUUUAUGUGAAAGGUGAUGACGCCGAAGCGGGGGAAAAGCUGAGAUAACCUGCUGGGCGCAAAUCGAACAGGUUUGCGACUGUCAUCGAAAGAUGGAGAGCUACUA
rnacentral:ncRNA from 1 species